AACACAUACUAGAGCCGGCUGAGAGGGAGAGAAACCGAGAAGAAUUGAGAAAGAGGUAGAGAAAAGGAAAACAAGAUGGAGAAAAGAAGAAAGAAAAGGAAGAAGAAGAAGAAGAAGAAGAAGGAAGAGGAAGAAAAAAUGAUGGCAAUACCAACAUGGUCCUUAAAGUUCUUCCUUAAUUUCUUCAGGUUAGUAAAAGAUGUAUUUAUGGAAAAUAAUUCUUGAAUUUAAGGUUUGUAAACAAUUACUCAUGUUUAAAGUUUGACAAUAAUUAAAGAUUAUGAAUAUGUAUUUGAGGUUAUAACUAAACUAUGGCAGAGAAAUAUGUAAUUGUCAAUUAGUGUCGAAGAAAGUGGAAUUUGAGAUGGGUUUGUGAAAGAAAUACAUAUUAUUUGAAAUUCUUGGGACUAUAUGAUGUUAAACACUUAAAUUAAGGAUUUGAUGUUGAAAUUCUCCAUUUUUUCUAAAGAAAUUUUCGGGUUAAGUAAUGAAGGUGCUAUUUAAGAAAUUUUCCCAGAAACGUGUUAUUUCUAUCCAUAUUUUGGUACACAGUUUUCAAUAUACAGAAUUUCGUGUCAUAAUUCAAUAUUGUGGAACUUUAGUGCCAUUUUUGUCAAACAAAUGUUGAAGCCUAUGUAUUGGACUAAAUUAUAUACAGGGGUUGUAUAUAAAGUAUUGGACUAAAUUAUAUAUAGGGGUUGUGUAUAUAAAAGCUAAGUUAUACCAUUUUUAAUAAACCCUAGAAUUUUUAAUUACAUUCUAGAGUAAAGAUAGUUUGGGAAAAUGAUAGUUAUCACAAAAUAUUCACUUGGAAGAAUGGUUAUAUGGAACAAAAUGUAAAUUUAAUUGGUUGAAUUAUGGUUAUUAGUUUUGCUAGAUUGAAAGAUGGGAUAAUUAUUUUCAUGAUUAGAAUAAAGGUAUUCUGAUGAAUUAGCUAUUAGAAAAUGGAGUAGAAAAUGGAAUUAGCUUAAAGUGAUUAAAGGAAAUUGGGGAAAAUUAUUCAAGUAUCGAGAAAUCAAGUUUUAGAUACGAUCAUCAAUAUUUAAAACUACUUAGCAGGAUAGUGUUUAAAUUAGUUAUUUUACAUUGUCUUUCAGGUGAUGGCCAAGAGAUGGGGAAAAUUUGUCGACCAUCAUAACCACUAGCUUGUUUAGAGUAAGUGGAAAUAAAACUUAUUUUUUCAGAAAUAAGUAUUUAUUGAAUUUUGAAGUUACGAAUUUUAUAAGUUGAGUUGAUAGCAUGAUUUUUCAUAAUAAAAUGAAUUUUAUUAUCAAAUGUUUUUAAAGGUUAAAUUCAAUUCAGUUAAAUUAUUUCAUUGGCAUAUUAUUUCAGUAUUAAAAUUUUUAGCAUAUUUAACGUUAUUAUUUAAAAUCACCAGAAAGUGCCCAUGUGAUUUUACCCGCUUUACACUGGUGUGAAUGUAUUUUCUUAGUUUAUGACCAGUUAUGGUGAUUUUACCCGCUCUGCACUAUUGUGAAUGUGUUUCCAUAGUGUAUGACAAGAUAGCUCUGUGCGCGUAUGACCAGAAUUUCAGAAUUAAAUAACUUUACCAUGUAUAUCGGUACUAAUCGAUACAUGAGUAAGGUUAUUCCGAGGUAUCAUUUUGGGUGAUUUUCCAGUAUUAUACAGCUAAUUAGAUUUUAGACUACAAAAUUUAGCUUAUUCAGUUUUCAGAGUAAUGAUUUAUUUAUAUUUAUUAUACCUUACAGCUGCUUAUCUAGAAUUAAGAACAAAGAAUUUUAUGAUACAAUAAUGUUUAGUUUUAAAAGUGUUACUAAAUUUCAGAAUUUCUCAAGGUUUUAAUAGAGCAAGAAUUUUCAGAAAAUAUGUAUAAAUGGAUAAAAUAUACUCAUUUGCAAAUUAUCUACUCACUGAGCUAUAAGCUCAUAUAUUUUGUAAUCCCUUUUCUUUUCAGAUAGUAGCUGAAUUGAGUAGCGAUAGAGCCUGUUGAUUUGCCAAAUUGAGCAACGCAUUAUCAUUAGUUGUAUAACUUGUUUUUUUCUUUUUUAUAUAUUUCAUUUACUAGAAUACAUGCAUCUCUUGUUGAAAAGCAUAUUCAUAUUACGAUUUCGUUGCAAUUUUGUAAAUGUUGUACAAUUUGGAGUCUUUUGACUUGUUAAGAAGUAUAGAUUUCAUUCAUG
rnacentral:lncRNA from 1 species